rnacentral:tRNA from 1 species
GGAUUGUGGCUCAGUGGUAGAGGACUUGCCUAGCAAGUGUAAGCACUGGGUUCAAUCCUCAGCACCA